rnacentral:rRNA from 1 species
UACGUAGGGGGCUAGCGUUGUCCGGAUUUAUUGGGCGUAAAGAGCUCGUAGGCGGCUUGGCAAGUCGGAAGUUAAAACAAGAGGCUUAACCUCCUGUCGCUUUCGAUACUGCUAUGGCUUGAGUCUGGUAGGGGAUGACGGAAUUCCACGUGUAGCAGUGAAAUGCGUAGAGAUCGUGAGGAAGACCAGUGGCGAAGGCGGAUCUCUGGACAGUUCCUGACGCUGAGGCGCGAAGGCCAGGGGAGCAAACGGG